UGGGAUAAAUAGGCUACACUAGCUGAGAGCAGGUUAUAAAAAAGUUAAUGCUGAAAACAGAAAUCUUUUACGUAAUUACGUAAUUAGGCGAGUUAAAAAGCCAAGUGGAAAGCUGAUUCUAACUCAUAUUUAAAGCUGUUUAAUACUUUCUUCUAUCCAAGCUAAAUAUGCAGAGGCAAGUAUAAUUAAGCAAUUUGUAGGUUGAUUCUUCUGAAAAGUGUAAACACUGUGGUUUUAUCAAAACAUUGCUCUAUCUGUGUUAGCACCCUGACUAGCCUGACACAGCAACAUUGGCACAACCAAUGGCAUGAGUUUGGGGUGGGACAACCUGUUUUUCCAACAAUUGAAAGACAGGGGAGUGUUCAGGAAAUCCUUUUGAAAUAAAUUAUUUUUGCAAUUGCAUUUGGUGAUGCAAGUGGCAAAGAAAUUACACUUCAUCUUUAAAGCCACAAGACAAUAACUGUAUGACCCGACCAGAUGUCUUCAUCUAUCUCUGAAAGACCAUAUUAGCUGGUGUAAUAUGAAGGCAUCUUAACUGCAAUGCUCAAAAUGUCAAACUUGCAGAGAAUUGCAUUACAUACUGUAUAUGAUGGCAUCACACAUAGUUGUGAGGAAACCCCUAGAUAAAUAACUAGAGGUUGAGAUAUAGCGUCUAUUUAAGGGCAGUUAAGCUAGGGAAACAUCACAUGGCCAUGUUUGGUGUGCACAGUAUGAAGAUACUAGAACAGGUGCAAUACACCAACAUUUAUAAAGUUGAUGAUAAUGAUCAUGCUAAUUGGUCAAGAUAAAACGUCCUUCAUCAUCUUAUUCGGUUCAGGUGAGAUAAAGGUGUCUUAAAAUUAAAAAAGUAAUUUUAUUAUCAUCACGAAUGCACACGUCUUUAUUAUUGAGCAGCAUUAUCUAUUGUAGUGAUAGAGUGAUAAAUCAUCCAGGUCGAUAAAUUGGCUGAUAUUUGGACAUUUAAAUUAUUGGCAUUGGUUGAUUACACAGAAAGUCGGCUGAGCUGAAAGCUUGAGUGCGAUGUUACUCUGUUAAGUAAGAGAAAUACAUUUAUUUGUUGAUUAAUUUUAUGUUAUUUUAAUUUAUUUUGACCUAACUCCUUGUCAUUUAUGACUUACACAUUUAUUUCAGCAAGUACAAAGAAUAAAUGUCGACAUAACGGUUUCGUCCAGGCCUGCAAUACUCUCCGCCAGUCUGAGAAAACAUGGGGAACAAUUGAAACAAUUUUAUAAAGAGAUGAAUCAAGCUUUAUUCAAUAGUGUGAAAAUGUCAAAUGUCCAAAGUCAAAAAGAGGAACAGAUGGAAAUGUUUCAAUUUCUCAACUUCAAAGGCCUUCACCUAACUCAGAGCAUUUCUGACGUUCUGGACAUCAACAUCAUGAGAAGUGGAAGUCAAAGGGGACAUUUGACUUCAAAACAAUGACAUAAACAAUGUCAUAAAAGUGGCUCUGGAGUGCAGCAUUACCAGUUUGACUAUCUUCAUACAGAUAAAACACAACACUCCUAUUCAUGGAUCAGCACAUUCAUCCUCAACCUGAUCUUUCAUAUGGUGUACAGACCCCUCAGUGCAGAGUGUCGGCAUCAGACUGAUGACAUGGAGAUGGCUGAAGUGAAGUUUUGCUUAAUAUGUUGUAUCUAAAAGACCUUAUUCAGUUUUUCAGACCAACAAAAUGAUUCUGUAUCUGCCCCAGUGCUAAAAUUGUUUAACAGCUUUUCAUUGGUCAUUUGUUAUUAUUUUACUUGUUUAUUAAUCUUACUUAUGGUUAUAAUGUUAACUCAUAGUUCAUGUUAAAUGAUUUAAUGUUUAUGAUGUUUAUUUAAAUAAUAUUACUACUAAUUAAGUUUUAGCUUAUUAUUGCAAACCUGUGGAUUUAUUAAGUAAAUUCUCAGAACUAGUGCAUUAUGAAUUAUGUUAAU